rfam:Salmo salar isolate Sally breed double haploid chromosome ssa01, whole genome shotgun sequence.
UCCCGUGUGGCUCAGUUGGUAGAGCAUGGUGUUUGCAACGCCAGGGUUGUGGGCUCGAUUCCCACAGGGGAC